rnacentral:sRNA from 1 species
AUUCCAAUUAAUGGCAGGAUACCGGAGAAUAUGCCCCCGGCUUGCAACUAACCGGGAAAUCAGGAGAGUACAUGUAC